CUGAAAUUGGGGGCCCCCAGGAACCUGCUUUGUGCUCUACCCAACUGUGGCCACACUAGUGCCCAAACUGCAAGACAAAGUCCCGUUUACCUCUUCCCUCUCCUUUCCUCAAACAGAAGGAAUAUUUCCUCAUGGCCACCCCUGUUGAGAAUAUACUGGGUCACACCUGAAGCCAGCAUGGCCCGAGGUCUCAGCUAAGGAUUGUGACAAAUACUGUCAAGGUGAGGAAACUCAGGCCCAGGAUUUGCUCCAAAGAAACUAGUUUACUACAAAGUAAUGGAUACAUAGACACUAGAGCCAUACUGUUUGUAUUUAAAUCUCAGCUUCCUUUUUUGUAUACCUGAAUUUCCUCAUUUCCUAACAUAUUUAUUUAUAAAUCUGUAGUGUGCAUCAAUUGCCCAGGAAAAUAAAGCCCCUCAUUGUUACAUUUUAAAGUUGUUUUAUUUUGAUAUUUUUAUUUCUAAUCAAUACUUUUCCUUAUUCUAAUAUUACAAGCGUAUUUUAUUUCAAGUAUAUUUUAUCCUCUACUCUGAAUAAAAUCCAAC
rnacentral:lncRNA from 1 species